CUCCCAGCCCACCAGCCACCGGCAAAAUAUAUCUCCCAGAUUAGGGUGCUUUAAAAGAGAAAUAAACAGCCCUGUGCCUCCAGGGGCCAUGCUUGGGCCUAGUGUCAGCUAAAAAAUAGCAGCUUUAUGAAUCGUGAUCACAUACAAGCCUUGUGCCAUGUGAAAUGGACACAGUCACACUGGAUAUCAUUUUAAAAUGUAGAGUUGUUUAGCACUGAGUUGAUGAAAAGACGGCAGGAUUCCAUUAAGUUCAAAGUUCUCUAGCAUUGGACAGAAAAGCCAUCUACAUGUAACCGAUUUUCAUCAAGUUCAGGGGCUCAAAGAUGGAGGUGGAAAAGACAGACCUCAAUGAAGAGCCGGAGAAACUCAGGAGUCAACUGAGUGAUCAGCCCAGGUGGGUUCAUGCCCGUGGCAUCCCCGGUCCGAGGCUACAGGACUCUCCUCCCAGGGAUCCAAGUGACUGUGCAGUGACCGUGGUCAUGCCACAGCCAGCAGCCAGAGUGCAGUCCACAUCGUGGCCACGUACGGCUCCUACAAUCUCAAGCUUGCCGAGAAGGCAGCCGUAAACCCGCACAGGCUCAGCGAUCUGGGGUCCCGAGAAUGAUUUUCCUUUCAAAAGAUGAACAUGCAGCUCAAAGGGGGAGUGGGACGUGGUUGCUGCCUCAACUGAACGCCUCUCUGGAC